CCGGGGUACUCUUCCCCAGCAGACCAGUGCGGGCUGGCCAUUUGGGCUCAUGUGUCACUCCUUUUCUUCCCCUUUACACUUGCAGCCCUUCCGAUGCCUUUCUGUUCACUUGUCCACAUUCACCUCUCUGUUUCCUUGACUGGGCCUUGAGUGACCUACCACAAUAGCGGAGCUGACCAAACGCAGAGUGCCUGUAUUUCAACAUUCAGGAGGCUGACUCUGCAAUCCCAAGACCCUUCGAGAAGGUGGAGACCAAGUUGGAGAACCUCCCACCUCCUCCAGGCUUCUGAGGCUCUUCACCUUUAAGAUGAAGCAAAGCCAGACUCUGGCAACCACUGGGUGCUGAGGGCUCGGGGGUCAGAGGGGUCUGAGAGGCCCCGUCCAGGCUGCAGCCAGCCAAGCCAGGCUCUUCUGCCCUUUCCAAGACCCAGAGAAGGUCUGGACCGAGAGACACUGCUGCUACCCAAGGGAAAGGCGCCUGAGGGAAGGGACUGCCGAGACCUUCCUGCAGGAGACAACGAGGGCUCUCUCCAGCUCUGCGGGACAGAAGAGCAGCCAGGGACAGGGGUGCUGACCCGGCAGUUCCAGGUCUUAGUCAUUUCCACGCCCCAGCAGAAUGGCCCGCAGCACCCCAGCCAACACACACACCGUCAUUUCUUUUAGCAACCUUCUGGGACUUGGACGAGCUUGGAGGAAUCCACGAGCAUUAGGGAGCCCUGGAGGAGGGGUGAAGGUUCAGGAAAGCAGCCAGGACCCAGCCGCGUCUGCCGGCCGGUACCCAGCGAGCCAGUCCAUCCGACACGCGUGGCACAGACACCGUCGUGGGUGAGACCAACUCAACAUCUUAGACGCGAGAGGGUGUGGGACGAGUUCCCCUUCCAACGAGUAAAUUGGCAGGGCCACUAAUUAAGUUGAAAGGAACGUCUGAGUCACGCUUCCUGGCCCGCUGUCUCCCUCUUUCCGGUCUCCCACUUAUCUGCGAGGAGCCCACUUCUCCCUGGGAAAACAGUGUGGUAACACAUUUGACACUAACGCAGACGCUAAUGAUCUCAAGUUGCUCCAACCAAAUCUGAGGAGUUUUGCUGUGAUACAAAUAAAUAUGUGCUUUGGGCUGUGAUUUUUUUUUCCAGCUAAGCUAUUUGGAGUCCCACACAUUUGUUUUCUCCCUUUUUCUCUCUAAAUCACAAGGGUUUUCAGAAAUACAGGGUGUGCAUCUUGGGAAAGCGGAUGAUGUAGGAAUGUAGGGAACCCUAAGUCGCCCGAGUCCUGUGGAAUAGGAACG